rnacentral:rRNA from 1 species
AGUGAACGCUGGCGGUAGGCCUAACACAUGCAAGUCGAACGGCAGCACAGUAAGAGCUUGCUCUUACGGGUGGCGAGUGGCGGACGGGUGAGGAAUACAUCGGAAUCUACUUUUUCGUGGGGGAUAACGUAGGGAAACUUACGCUAAUACAUCAUACGACCUACGGGUGAAAGCAGGGGAUCUUCGGACCUUGCGUGAUUGAAUGAGCCGAUGUCGGAUUAGCUAGUUGGCGGGGUAAAGGCCCACCAAGGCGACGAUCCGUAGCUGGUCUGAGAGGAUGAUCAGCCACACUGGAACUGAGACACGGUCCAGACUCCUACGGGAGGCAGCAGUGGGGAAUAUUGGACAAUGGGCGCAAGCCUGAUCCAGCCAUACCGCGUGAGUGAAGAAGGCCUUCGGGUUGUAAAGCCCUUUUGUUGGGAAAGAAAAGCAGCAGGUUAAUACCCCGCUGUUCUGACGGUACCCAAAGAAUAAGCACCGGCUAACUUCGUG